rnacentral:rRNA from 1 species
AUUGAACGCUGGCGGCAGGCCUAACACAUGCAAGUCGAGCGGGGUUUUCGGACCUAGCGGCGGACGGGUGAGUAAUGCGUAGGAAGCUACCCGAUAGAGGGGGAUACCAGUUGGAAACGACUGUUAAUACCGCAUAAUGUCUACGGACCAAAGUGUGGGACCUUCGGGCCACAUGCUAUCGGAUGCGCCUACGUGGGAUUAGCUAGUUGGUGAGGUAAUGGCUCACCAAGGCGACGAUCCCUAGCUGGUUUGAGAGGAUGAUCAGCCACACUGGAACUGAGACACGGUCCAGACUCCUACGGGAGGCAGCAGUGGGGAAUAUUGGACGAUGGGGGCAAGCCUGAUCCAGCCAUGCCGCGUGUGUGAAGAAGGCCUUCGGGUUGUAAAGCACUUUCAGUAGGGAUGAAGCGUUGUGUGUUAAUAGUACACAGCGUUGACGUUACCUACAGAAGAAGCACCGGCUAACUCUGUGCCAGCCGCCGCCGUAACAC